CUGGUUGAUCCUGCCAGUAGUCAUAUGCUUGUCUCAAAGAUUAAGCCAUGCAUGUCUAAGUAUAAAUAGUAUACAGUGAAACUGCGAAUGGCUCAUUAAAACAGUUAUAGUUUAUUUGAUAAUGAAAAAUUAUAUGGAUAACCGUGGUAAUUCUAGAGCUAAUACAUGCUGUAAGACGCGACUUUUGGAGCGUUGUAUUUAUUAGGUAGAAACCAAUCCCUUCGGGGUUGAGAUGAAUCAUAGUAACUGAUCGAAUCUCAGAGUUGAGAUGCGUCAUUCAAGUUUCUGCCCUAUCAGCUUUUGAUGGUAGUGUAUUGGACUACCAUGGCAGUCACGGGUAACGGAGAAUUAGGGUUCGAUUCCGGAGAGGGAGCCUGAGAAACGGCUACCACAUCUACGGGAGGCAGCAGGCGCGUAAAUUACCCAAUCCUGACUCAGGGAGGUAGUGACAAGAAAUAACAACCUAUGUCUUUUAGACUGUGGAUUGUAAUGAGUUCAAUUUAAAACACUGAACGAGGAACAAUUGGAGGGCAAGUCUGGUGCCAGCAGCCGCGGUAAUUC
rnacentral:rRNA from 1 species